rnacentral:rRNA from 1 species
UUUAGGGUGACGAAGUGGUUGAUGCCAUGCUUCCAAGAAAAGCUUCUAAGCUUCAGGUAACCAGGAACCGUACCCCAAACCGACACAGGUGGUUGGGUAGAGAAUACCAAGGCGCUUGAGAGAACUCGGGUGAAGGAACUAGGCAAAAUGGCACCGUAACUUCGGGAGAAGGUGCGCCGGUGAGGGUGAAGCAUUUACUGCGUAAGCCCAUGCCGGUCGAAGAUACCAGGCCGCUGCGACUGUUUAUUAAAAACACAGCACUCUGCAAACACGAAAGUGGACGUAUAGGGUGUGACGCCUGCCCGGUGCCGGAAGGUUAAUUGAUGGGGUUAGCUAACGCGAAGCUCUUGAUCGAAGCCCCGGUAAACGGCGGCCGUAACAAUAACGGUCCUAAGGUAGCGAAAUUCCUUGUCGGGUAAGUUCCGACCUGCACGAAUGGCGUAACGAUGGCGGCGCUGUCUCCACCCGAGACUCAGUGAAAUUGAAAUCGCUGUGAAGAUGCAGUGUAUCCGCGGCUAGACGGAAAGACCCCGUGAACCUUUACUAUAGCUUUGCACUGGACUUUGAAUUUGCUUGUGUAGGAUAGGUGGGAGGCUUUGAAGCGUGGACGCCAGUUCGCGUGGAGCCAACCUUGAAAUACCACCCUGGCAACUUUGAGGUUCUAACUCAGGUCCGUUAUCCGGAUCGAGGACAGUGUAUGGUGGGUAGUUUGACUGGGGCGGUCUCCUCCUAAAGAGUAACGGAGGAGUACGAAGGUGCGCUCAGACCGGUCGGAAAUCGGUCGUAGAGUAUAAAGGCAAAAGCGCGCUUGACUGCGAGACAGACACGUCGAGCAGGUACGAAAGUAGGUCUUAGUGAUCCGGUGGUUCUGUAUGGAAGGGCCAUCGCUCAACGGAUAAAAGGUACUCCGGGGAUAACAGGCUGAUACCGCCCAAGAGUUCAUAUCGACGGCGGUGUUUGGCACCUCGAUGUCGGCUCAUCACAUCCUGGGGCUGAAGCCGGUCCCAAGGGUAUGGCUGUUCGCCAUUUAAAGUGGUACGCGAGCUGGGUUUAGAACGUCGUGAGACAGUUCGGUCCCUAUCUGCCGUGGACGUUUGAGAUUUGAGAGGGGCUGCUCCUAGUACGAGAGGACCGGAGUGGACGAACCUCUGGUGUUCCGGUUGUCACGCCAGUGGCAUUGCCGGGUAGCUAUGUUCGGAAUAGAUAACCGCUGAAAGCAUCUAAGCGGGAAACUAGCCUCAAGAUGAGAUCUCACUGGGACCUUGAGUCCCCUGAAGGGCCGUCGAAGACUACGACGUUGAUAGGUUGGGUGUGUAAGCGCUGUGAGGCGUUGAGCUAACCAAUACUAAUUGCCCGUGAGGCUUGACUAA